rnacentral:lncRNA from 1 species
GGGUUAUGUACAGCACAGAUGUAUUUUACAAACAAUUGUAAACAAAAAAGGCAUGAGAAACCAAAGGGACAUUAUAAAAUAAAGACAAGCUGACAACACCAUUGCAAAAACACGAAAAAAAGAACAAAUGCAAAUAGAAAAUUAUGAUCGAAGCUGGUAUUACCUACUACGUUGAAUGGUCUCCUGUGGUUUAAGCCCACCAACCACGGCAAGGUCAGAGACCAUACGGCAGGUUUUUUUUUUUACAUAUCUUUCCCCACUAGAUAGAUUAUUACUAUAUUUCCAACGAUUUCAAAAUUGAGUAGAUGAUAUAUUUAUUGUUUAGAAAAGAUUAUGGACUGCUUAAUUUUCAUUCAAUAGCUAGCAAUGAUUCAUAAG